rnacentral:rRNA from 1 species
UACGUAGGGGGGCAAGCGUUGCCCGGAAUCAUUGGGCGUAAAGAGCGUGUAGGCGGCCCGGUAAGUCCGCUGUGAAAGUCCAGGGCUCAACCCUGGGAUGCCGGUGGAUACUGUCGGGCUCGAGUCCGGAAGAGGAGUGUGGAAUUCCUGGUGUAGCGGUGAAAUGCGCAGAUAUCAGGAGGAACACCGAUUGCGAAGGCAGCUCGCUGGGACGUAACUGACGCUGGAGACGCGAAAGCGUGGGGAGCAAACAGG